rnacentral:rRNA from 1 species
UACGUAGGGAGCAAGCGUUGUCCGGAAUCAUUGGGCGUAAAGCGCGCGUAGGCGGCCUCAUAAGUCCGUUGUGAAAGUCAAAGGCUCAACCUUUGAAAGCCGAUGGAUACUGUGAGGCUAGAGUUCGGAAGAGGCGAGUGGAAUUCCUGGUGUAGCGGUGGAAUGCGCAGAUAUCAGGAGGAACACCAAUAGCGAAGGCAGCUCGCUGGGACGAUACUGACGCUAAGGCGCGAAAGCUAGGGGAGCAAACAGGG